CCUACGGGUGGCUGCAGUGGGGAAUAUUGGACAAUGGGGGCAACCCUGAUCCAGCCAUGCCGCGUGUGUGAAGAAGGCCCUCGGGUUGUAAAGCACUUUCAGUGAGGAAGAACGCCUGGUGGUUAAUACCCAUCAGGAAAGACAUCACUCACAGAAGAAGCACCGGCUAACUCCGUGCCAGCAGCCGCGGUAAUACGGAGGGUGCGAGCGUUAAUCGGAAUUACUGGGCGUAAAGCGCGCGUAGGUGGCUUGAUAAGCCGGUUGUGAAAGCCCCGGGCUCAACCUGGGAACGGCAUCCGGAACUGUCAAGCUAGAGUGCAGGAGAAGAAGGUAGAAUUCCCGGUGUAGCGGUGAAAUGCGUAGAGAUCGGGAGGAAUACCAGUGGCGAAGGCGGCCUUCUGGACUGACACUGACACUGAGGUGCGAAAGCGUGGGUAGCAAACAGGAUUAGAUACCCUAGUAGUC
rnacentral:rRNA from 1 species